GGGUAUCAGAGGGUCAGUAGGUCGUCCCUGGUGGGUAUCAGAGGGUCAGUAGGUCGUCCCUGGUGGGUAUCAGAGGGUCAGUAGGUCGUCCCUGGUGGGUAUCAGAGGGUCAGUUGGUCGUCCCUGGUGGGUAUCAGAGGGUCAGCAGGUCGUCCCUGGUGGGUAUCAGAGGGUCAGUAGGUCGUCCCUGGUGGGUAUCAGAGGGUCAGUAGGUCGUCCCUGGUGGGUAUCAGAGGGUCAGUAGGUCGUCCCUGGUGGGUAUCAGAGGGUCAGUAGGUCGUCCCUGGUGGGUAUCAGAGGGUCGUCCCUGGUGGGUAUCAGAGGGUCGUCCCUGGUGGGUAUCAGAGGGUCAGUAGGUCGUCCCUGGUGGGUAUCAGAGGGUCAGUAGGUCGUCCCUGGUGGGUAUCAGAGGGUCAGUUGGUCGUCCCUGGUGGGUAUCAGAGGGUCAGUAGGUCGUCCCUGGUGGGUAUCAGAGGGUCAGUAGGUCGUCCCUGGUGGGUAUCAGAGGGUCAGUAGGUCGUCCCUGGUGGGUAUCAGAGGGUCAGUUGGUCGUCCCUGGUGGGUAUCAGAGGGUCAGUAGGUCGUCCCUGGUGGGUAUCAGAGGGUCAGUAGGUCGUCCCUGGUGGGUAUCAGAGGGUCAGUAGGUCGUCCCUGGUGGGUAUCAGAGGGUCAGUAGGUCGUCCCUGGUGGGUAUCAGAGGGUCAGUAGGUCGUCCCUGGUGGGUAUCAGAGGGUCAGUAGGUCGUCCCUGGUGGGUAUCAGAGGGUCAGUAGGUCGUCCCUGGUGGGUAUCAGAGGGUCAGUAGGUCGUCCCUGGUGGGUAUCAGAGGGUCAGUAGGUCGUCCCUGGUGGGUAUCAGAGGGUCAGUAGGUCGUCCCUGGUGGGUAUCAGAGGGUCAGUAGGUCGUCCCUGGUGGGUAUCAGAGGGUCAGCAGGUCGUCCCUGGUGGGUAUCAGAGGGUCAGCAGGUCGUCCCUGGUGGGUAUCAGAGGGUCAGCAGGUCGUCCCUGGUGGGUAUCAGAGGGUCAGCAGGUCGUCCCUGGUGGGUAUCAGAGGGUCAGCAGGUCGUCCCUGGUGGGUAUCAGAGGGUCAGCAGGUCGUCCCUGGUGGGUAUCAGAGGGUCAGCAGGUCGUCCCUGGUGGGUAUCAGAGGGUCAGCAGGUCGUCCCUGGUGGGUAUCAGAGGGUCAGCAGGUCGUCCCUGGUGGGUAUCAGAGGGUCAGUAGGUCGUCCCAGUCAACCAAUCAGGGCCUCCAGAUAUAGAGGCCUGUUAUCAAAG